UACGUAGGGUGCAAGCGUUAAUCGGAAUUACUGGGCGUAAAGCGUGCGCAGGCGGUUCUAUAAGACAGAUGUGAAAUCCCCGGGCUCAACCUGGGAACUGCAUUGUGACUGUAGAGCUGGAGUGCGGCAGAGGGGAUGGAAUUCCGCGUGUAGCAGUGAAAUGCGUAGAUAUGCGGAAGAACACCGGUGGCGAAGGCGGUUAGCUGGGCAGUUGCUGACACUGGAGGCGCGACAGCGUGGGGAGCAAACAGGAUUGAGAACC
rnacentral:rRNA from 1 species